AACAAGGUCUCCGUUGGUGAACCAGCGGAGGGAUCAUUACCGAGUUUACAACUCCCAAACCCAAUGUGAACCAUACCAAACUGUUGCCUCGGCGGGGUCACGCCCCGGGUGCGUCGCAGCCCCGGAACCAGGCGCCCGCCGGAGGGACCAACCAAACUCUUUUCUGUAGUCCCCUCGCGGACGUUAUUUCUUACAGCUCUGAGCAAAAAUUCAAAAUGAAUCAAAACUUUCAACAACGGAUCUCUUGGUUCUGGCAUCGAUGAAGAACGCAGCGAAAUGCGAUAAGUAAUGUGAAUUGCAGAAUUCAGUGAAUCAUCGAAUCUUUGAACGCACAUUGCGCCCGCCAGUAUUCUGGCGGGCAUGCCUGUCCGAGCGUCAUUUCAACCCUCGAACCCCUCCGGGGGGUCGGCGUUGGGGACCUCGGGAGCCCCUAAGACGGGAUCCCGGCCCCGAAAUACAGUGGCGGUCUCGCCGCAGCCUCUCCUGCGCAGUAGUUUGCACAACUCGCACCGGGAGCGCGGCGCGUCCACGUCCGUAAAACACCCAACUUCUGAAAUGUUGACCUCGGAUCAGGUAGGAAUACCCGCUGAACUUAAGCAUAUA
rnacentral:sRNA from 1 species